rnacentral:lncRNA from 10 species
CAAAGAUUUCUUCCGUAAGAUGGUGUGACUUCUCUCUUAAAUGCAUAAAUAAUUUACUUCUGAUGUCAUCUGAGUCUUGAAUAUUUUGUUGCAAGGUUUUUGUAUUUGUUUGUUUGUUUUAGAUGGAGUCUCGCUCUCUCGCCCAGGCUGAACUGCAGUGUCGCUAUCUGGGUUCACUGCAAGCUCCGCCUCCCGGGUUCACCACUCUCCUGCCUCAGCCUCCUGAGUAGCUGGGACUACAGGGCAAGGUUUUAAAUUAAGAAUUUUAUAUGCAUAUCACACAUAUAUGUAUUAUCAAUUGAAGAGGCCAUGUGUUCAAGAUGAUGGAGCUACCGAGUGGCAAAUCUUCCCUCAGCCGUGGACCAGUGUGUCACCAUAUAGAGAACAGUUACCCAGGAGUGUACUCAUCCUGUAUGAAAUUCGGGUCCAAAUUUCCUUGGUACUAAUAUCCCUGGAAGCAUCCCUCUGCCAAUAAUAACAUAGAUGUCGGUGGCUCUGAUGUUGGUUUCAUGGCUUGGAUCAAGGAGGGCAGCCUAGGUUGACUGAGAUUGACUGCCUGGCUAGCUGUGCUGAGAAGGAUCAUGAGGCUGUUUGGCAGCAACACUGCUAUCCUUACCUUAGAUGGAGGCAUUGGAAAACAGGGUCUUACUGUUGCCCAGGCUGGAGUAUGGUGGCAUGAUCACCGCUCACUGCAGCAGCCUCUAUCUCCUGAGUUCAAGUGAUCUUCCCACAUCAGUCUCCUGAGUAGCUGGGACUACAGGCAUGCACCACUAUGCCUGGGUAAUUUUUGUAUUUUUUGCAGAGAAGGGGUUUUUCCAUGUUGCCCAGGCUGGUCUCGAACUCUUGAUAUCAAGGGAUCCACUCACCUUGCCUCCCAAACUAUUGAGAUUACAGGUGUGAGCCACUGCAACCAGCCUUGCAGUCAUUAAUCUUUAUGCUGCUCAUAUUAUUGCAGAUUAGGCUGUGGGAUCCUCUCUUAAAAUGGGCUUUUGUGCCCCUUUGACAUGAUCCCAUAUGUUUGUGCUAGCUUUCUAGCAUGAUGGUAUAUGCUGAACAAAUCCAGUAUAUUUCCUGAUCAGACCCGGAAGCAAUUUUUAUCAAGGAGUCCUGGUUUCCUUGAGAGAGAACUGGUAUUUAGAGACCAUAAUGUGAGCUGUAGGAGUGUUUCUUUCUACUGCGUCAUUACUUCUGCGUUUUCGAUGGAAAGAACUAGAAAAUACCCUCCUUCUUUUAGAGAGAAUAAAAUAUGGGUUAUACUGAUAUUUCCAAUUUAAAUAUAAGAUUACAUGAUUGCUACUCAAAUUCUUGGAUUUGAUACUUGAAUCUCUUCUCUUAUUCUAAAAAUCUUGAAUUCUAAUAAAAUCAAUAUAAUUAAUUAUUUUCUUUAUCAUGGAAAGCAUCUAUAAUGAUUUGAAAAUAAUUUCAAAAUUUUGUUAACAAGUCUACAGAAUCUUUCAAAUUUUGUUGCAGUUAUUUUGGAUCUUGGAAUAUAUUCCAUUAGAGAUUUGCUGUUAAGGUACUAUGUUUUAAAAGCUCAUGAAGUAAUUUAUUUCCCUGUUUGAUUGUGCUGUUAAGGUCAUAUGCAGUAGGUUCAUUUUCUGUGGUCUGGUUUUGAUUUUUAAAAAUCACUUUUAAAUUAUUAUUUAAAUUACGUAAAUUAAAAAUGUAUAUGGCUCCAGUCAAAAUUAUGUGCAUAAAUUCAGAAAAGUUUGCUUUCAUUCCUGUCUUAUCCUCCUUUCAUUGGUAAACAUAUCUUAGCCUUAUUCUUCCAUUAAAUCAUUGUGAAAAUAUUAAAAACUACGUAUGAAAAUUUGAUUCUCUCUUUUCUUAUACAAAAGUUAGAAAACUAUUAAUAUUGUUCUCCACUUGUAUUUUUCACUUAACAAUAUAUCCUAGAAAUUACCAGCAUAUAGAUGUCUUCCUUGUCCCAUUUUACCAUUGCAUAGUACUCCCUUGAGUGAACAUGAAUAACAUAGUUAAUUUAACAAGAUUGUUGUAAGACUGCUAUUGCUGGACAUUUGGCUCUUUCUUUUCUAUGAUGAACAACACUUUCAUGCAUAGCUUAUAUAUAUAAAAUUUUCCCCCACUUAAUCUUUGAGAUAGAGUCCUAGAAGUGGGAUUACUGGGUCAAUGGAAAAUAAAUACACAUGUAAUUUGGUUAUAUUUUAUCAAAUUUUCCUUCAUGUGUGUUAUGUAAUUUUGCAUUUCUACCAACAAUACAUGGCAGUACUUGUUUAUCCACAGUUUUAUCAAUGAGAAGUAUGGAUUUUUUGCUAAUUUGAUCAGUGGAAAGUAGUUUCUUAGUGAGUCAACAUUUAUAUCUGUCUUAUCAUGAGUGAGGCUAAAUAUUGUUUUCUGUGUUUAAAGGCCAGUUGAAUUAAUUUUUCUGUAAACUGU